UACAGAGGUCCCGAGCGUUGUUCGGAUUUAUUGGGCGUAAAGGGUGCGUAGGCGGCGGAGUAAGUUGGGUGUGAAAUCCCCGGGCUUAACCUGGGAAUGGCAUUUGGGACUGCAAGGCUUGAGUGCGGCAGAGGAGACUGGAAUUCCUGGUGUAGCAGUGAAAUGCGUAGAUAUCAGGAGGAAGACCGAUGGCGAAGGCAGGUCUCUGGGCUGACACUGACGCUCAUGCACGAAAGCGUGGGGAGCAAACAGG
rnacentral:rRNA from 1 species